ensembl:ncRNA F35C11.10 ncRNA
AAAUGCAAUGGCCAUGAUGAGAUUGUGGUGUCAGAAUUAAGCGGAUCGACGUAAUCUCU